rnacentral:rRNA from 1 species
UGAGGAAUAUUGGUCAAUGGGCGCAAGCCUGAACCAGCCAUGCCGCGUGCAGGAUGAAGCAUCUAUGGUGUGUAAACUGCUUUUGUACGGGAAGAAACCACCCCUCGUGAGGGGUAUUGACGGUACCGUAAGAAUAAGGAUCGGCUAACUCCGUGCCAGCAGCCGCGGUAAUACGGAGGAUCCAAGCGUUAUCCGGAAUCAUUGGGUUUAAAGGGUCCGUAGGCGGUUUAGUAAGUCAGUGGUGAAAGCCCAUCGCUCAACGAUGGAACGGCCAUUGAUACUGCUAGACUUGAAUUAUUAGGAAGUAACUAGAAUAUGUAGUGUAGCGGUGAAAUGCUUAGAUAUUACAUGGAAUACCAAUUGCGAAGGCAGGUUACUACUUGUGGAUUGACGCUGAUGGACGAAAGCGUGGGGAGCGAACA